UGCUGGAUCGUCUAAUGGUAGGACGGCGGUCUCUGGAACCGUUAAUCCUAGUUCGAGUCUAGGUCCAGCAA
rfam:Candidate division WS6 bacterium 34_10 MPI_scaffold_11698, whole genome shotgun sequence.